rnacentral:rRNA from 1 species
CACGUAGGGGGCAAGCGUUGUCCGGAUUUAUUGGGCGUAAAGAGCUCGUAGGCGGUUCGGUAAGUCGGGUGUGAAACCUCCAGGCUCAACCUGGAGACGCCACCCGAUACUGCUGUGACUAGAGUCCGGUAGGGGAGCGUGGAAUUCCUGGUGUAGCGGUGAAAUGCGCAGAUAUCUGGAGGAACACCGGUGGCGAAGGCGGCAUCCUGGACCGGCAUUGACGCUGAGGCGCGAAAGCCAGGGGAGCAAACGGG